AACGCACGGGUCGGAUAGGCCCUUUGGAUCGACGGUUGGUCUACUACAUAUCAAUAAGACAAUAGUAAGCGAUCUGACAGAUCGCACCUAUAUGGAUAAAUCACAAAGAAUUGCUACACGUUGUUGCCACAAAAUAGUGAUCUUUCUAAAUAACCGAUAUAUUCCUUAAACUUUACGCUAUUAUUGGACUACAUAUAGUAAAACUAUUCUCUAGUAAUUGCCUACUGUAUUACCAUAUAUGUUUAAGCAAUCAUACAGUCAUUGAGUAUCAAUUACGCUUUAGUUUAUGGUGGAGAGCGAUUCGUUACCGGUGCGAAUUUACGAUCAGGUGCUAACCGUUCCCAUCACCAGUUCGCUUAGUGGCUAUUAUAGGUUAUUUGUGCGUCAUCAUUGGAA